CACUAGUGAUCAUGCAAGUCGAACGGAAAGGCCCUUUCGGGGGUACACGAGUGGCGAACGGGUGAGUAACACGUGGGUGAUCUGCCCUGCACUUUGGGAUAAGCCUGGGAAACUGGGUCUAAUACCGAAUACACCCUGCUGGUCGCAUGGCCUGGUGGGGGAAAGCUUUUGCGGUGUGGGAUGGGCCCGCGGCCUAUCAGCUUGUUGGUGGGGUGAUGGCCUACCAAGGCGACGACGGGUAGCCGGCCUGAGAGGGUGUCCGGCCACACUGGGACUGAGAUACGGCCCAGACUCCUACGGGAGGCAGCAGUGGGGAAUAUUGCACAAUGGGCGCAAGCCUGAUGCAGCGACGCCGCGUGAGGGAUGACGGCCUUCGGGUUGUAAACCUCUUUCAAUAGGGACGAAGCGUAAGUGACGGUACCUAUAGAAGAAGCACCGGCCAACUACGUGCCAGCAGCCGCGGUAAUACGUAGGGUGCGAGCGUUGUCCGGAAUUACUGGGCGUAAAGAGCUCGUAGGUGGUUUGUCGCGUUGUUCGUGAAAACUCACA
rnacentral:rRNA from 1 species